UAGCUAGUUGGUGAGGUAAAGGCUUACCAAGGCGACGAUCUGUAGCGGGUCUGAGAGGAUGAUCCGCCACACUGGAACUGAGACACGGUCCAGACUCCUACGGGAGGCAGCAGUGGGGAAUUUUGGACAAUGGGGGCAACCCUGAUCCAGCCAUGCCGCGUGAGUGAAGAAGGCCUUCGGGUUGUAAAGCUCUUUCGGCCGGGAAGAAAUCGCAUGGGCCAAUACCCUGUGUGGAUGACGGUACCGGAAUAAGAAGCACCGGCUAACUACGUGCCAGCAGCCGCGGUAAUACGUAGGGUGCGAGCGUUAAUCGGAAUUACUGGGCGUAAAGCGUGCGCAGGCGGUUUUGUAAGACAGGCGUGAAAUCCCCGGGCUUAACCUGGGAACUGCGUUUGUGACUGCAAGGCUAGAGUACGGCAGAGGGGGGUGGAAUUCCACGUGUAGCAGUGAAAUGCGUAGAGAUGUGGAGGAACACCAAUGGCGAAGGCAGCCCCCUGGGUCGAUACUGACGCUCAUGCACGAAAGCGUGGGUAGCAAACAGGAUUAGAUACCCUGGUAGUCCACGCCCUAAACUAUGUCAACUAGGUGUUGGGUGGGUAAAACCAUUUAGUACCGUAGCUAACGCGUGAAGUUGACCGCCUGGGGAGUACGGCCGCAAGGUUAAAACUCAAAGGAAUUGACGGGGACCCGCACAAGCGGUGGAUGAUGUGGAUUAAUUCGAUGCAACGCGAAAAACCUUACCUACCCUUGACAUGCCAGGAACUUGCCAGAGAUGGCUUGGUGCCCGAAAGGGAGCCUGGACACAGGUGCUGCAUGGCUGUCGUCAGCUCGUGUCGUGAGAUGUUGGGUUAAGUCCCGCAACGAGCGCAACCCUUGUCGUUAAUUGCCAUCAUUUAGUUGGGCACUUUAACGAGACUGCCGGUGACAAACCGGAGGAAGGUGGGGAUGACGUCAAGUCCUCAUGGCCCUCAUGGGUAGGGCUUCACACGUCAUACAAUGGUCGGUACAAAGGGUUGCCAAGCCGCGAGGCGGAGCCAAUCCCAGAAAGCCGAUCGUAGUCCGGAUUGCAGGCUGCAACUCGCCUGCAUGAAGUCGGAAUCGCUAGUAAUCGUGGAUCAGCAUGUCACGGUGAAUACGUUCCCGGGUCUUGUACACACCGCCCGUCACACCAUGGGAGCGGGUUCCGCCAGAAGUAGGUAGCCUAACCGCAAGGGGGGCGCUUACCACGGCGGGGUUCGUGACUGGGGUGAAGUCGGAACAAGGUAGCCGUAGGGGAACCUGCGGCUG
rnacentral:rRNA from 1 species